rnacentral:rRNA from 1 species
AGUGAACGCUGGCGGUAGGCCUAACACAUGCAAGUCGAACGACAGCACAGUAAGAGCUUGCUCUUACGGGUGGCGAGUGGCGGACGGGUGAGGAAUAGAUCGGAAUCUACUUUUUCGUGGGGGAUAACGUAGGGACACUUACGCUAAUACCGCAUACGACCUACGGGUGAAAGCAGGGGAUCUUCGGACCUUGCGCGAUUGAAUGAGCCGAUGUCGGAUUAGCUAGUUGGCGGGGUAAAGGCCCACCAAGGCGACGAUCCGUAGCUGGCCUGAGAGGAUGAUCAGCCACACUGGAACUGAGACACGGUCCAGACUCCUACGGGAGGCAGCAGUGGGGAAUCUUCGACAAUGGGCGCAAGCCUGACGCAGCCACACCGCGUGAGUGAAGAAGGUCUUCGGGUCGUAAAGCUCUUUUGUUGGGAAAGAAAAGCAGCAUGUUAAUACACCGCCGUCUUGACGGUACCCAAAGAAUAAGCAACGGCUAACUUCGUG